GAGCCACGGACACUGCUUCAUCAAUCCAUCCUGCAAUUACAGCUUGUCCUCGAACUCUGACAGCGGGGUCAUCUGCUCCUUCAAGCCCUUCCUCUUGCGGAUAUCAGUAACCAGCUGAGCUGCCUGAGACCCAGACUCCAGAGGAUCAGACAUCAUCAUAUCCCAAUGGUCAAAGACACACUGAGGGAACGCCUGCCCAGAGGUUGCAGCUCUCAAUGUACUAGAGAAACCAAAGGACUCGAUAACAGGCAGGUAGGCCUUGAUGUUGUACAGAGGGGUUCCAGGCCUCUGCAUCUCCUCGAACACAUGCCCACGCUUCUGGUUAAGGACACUGUAAAUACCACCAAGGGCCUGCUCUGGAGCUUGGAUCUCGACAAGGUAGACAGGCUCAAGCAGCCUGGGCUUGGCUGUCAACUGCGAAGCAUAGAUAACCCUCCUAGCAGUUGGAAUGACCUGGCCACCACCUCUGUGAAUGGCAUCAGCAUGCAGAACCACAUCACAGACCUCAAAGCAAAUACCACGCAUAU
rnacentral:lncRNA from 1 species